rnacentral:rRNA from 1 species
CUGAGGCACGAAAGCGUGGGGAGCAAACAGGAUUAGAUACCCUGGUAGUCCACGCCGUAAACGAUGAGUGCUAGGUGUUGGGGGUUACCGCCCUCAGUGCCGAAGGAAACCCAAUAAGCACUCCGCCUGGGGAGUACGGUCGCAAGACUGAAACUCAAAGGAAUUGACGGGGGCCCGCACAAGCAGUGGAGCAUGUGGUUUAAUUCGAAGCAACGCGAAGAACCUUACCAGGGCUUGACAUCCCUCUGACGGAUGCAGAGAUGUAUCUUCCCUUCGGGGCAGAGGUGACAGGUGGUGCAUGGUUGUCGUCAGCUCGUGUCGUGAGAUGUUGGGUUAAGUCCCGCAACGAGCGCAACCCUUGAUCUGUGUUACCAGCACGUCAUGGUGGGGACUCACAGGUGACUGCCGGCGUAAGUCGGAGGAAGGUGGGGAUGACGUCAAAUCAUCAUGCCCUUUAUGUCCUGGGCGACACACGUGCUACAAUGGGCGGAACAACGGGACGCGAGACCGCGAGGUGGAGCAAAACCCUGAAAACCGUUCGUAGUUCG